GAUGAACGCUGGCGGCGUGCUUAACACAUGCAAGUCGAGCGAAGCACUCUGUUUGAUUUUUUCGGAAUGAAAACAGUUUGACUGAGCGGCGGACGGGUGAGUAACGCGUGGGGAACCUGCCUUACACAGGGGGAUAACAGUUAGAAAUGGCUGCUAAUACCGCAUAACCCGCUGGGGUCGCAUGACCCUGACGGAAAAGAUUGUAUCGGUGUAAGAUGGACCCGCGUCUGAUUAGCUGGUUGGUGAGGUAACGGCUCACCAAGGCGACGAUCAGUAGCCGACCUGAGAGGGUGAUCGGCCACAUUGGGACUGAGACACGGCCCAA
rnacentral:rRNA from 1 species